rnacentral:rRNA from 1 species
CCUACGGGAGGCUGCAGUGGGGAAUAUUGGACAAUGGGCGAAAGCCUGAUCCAGCCAUGCCGCGUGUGUGAAGAAGGCCUUCGGGUUGUAAAGCACUUUCAGUGGGGAAGAAAGCCUUGGGGCUAAUACCCUCGAGGAAGGACAUCACCAACAGAAGAAGCACCGGCUAACUCCGUGCCAGCAGCCGCGGUAAUACGGAGGGUGCGAGCGUUAAUCGGAAUUACUGGGCGUAAAGCGCGCGUAGGCGGUCUGAUAAGCCGGUUGUGAAAGCCCCGGGCUCAACCUGGGAACGGCAUCCGGAACUGUCAGGCUAGAGUGCAGGAGAGGAAGGUAGAAUUCCCGGUGUAGCGGUGAAAUGCGUAGAGAUCGGGAGGAAUACCAGUGGCGAAGGCGGCCUUCUGGACUGACACUGACGCUGAGGUGCGAAAGCGUGGGUAGCAAACAGGAUUAGAUACCCUGUAGUC